CUAAUAAUUUUAUUUAAAAGCAAAAUGAGUCCUAGCUGGUUUGGCUCAGUGGAUAGAGCGUCAGCCAGUGGACUGAAGGGUCCUGGGAUCGAUUCCAGUCAAGGGCACAUGCCCAGGUUGCAGGCUUUAUCCUCAGUACGGGGCAUGUAGAAGGAAGCCCGAUCAAUGAUUCUCUCUCAUCAUUGAUGUUUCUAUCUCUCCCUCUCCCUCUCUGAAAUCAAUAAAAAUAUAUUUAAAAAAUAAAUAAAUAAAAAUAAAAGCAAAAUGUAAUAAACAAAACAACUUUGAAAAAUCAUCCUGUGCUACCUCUACUUCUCAAGAAUGUCUAACCAAGGCAGGGGAAGGCCUAUGUAACAGAGUAAAACAUCUUUACUGAUUCUUUUAAAAGACUAUUUCAAAAUAACUACAAAGCUAAAGUCAGGAAGACAGUGUGGUACUGGCAGAAGGAUAAACAUACAAAUAAUUGGAACAGAAUUGAAAGUCCAGAAAUAAACCCUUACAUUUAUGGACAACUGAUUUUUAAAAAAUAUAUAAAUUUUUAUUGCCCUAACUGGAAGAGAGAGUGAGAGAGAGAGACAGAAACAUCAAUGAUGAGACAGAAUCACUGGGGAUCGAGUCCACAACCUGGGCAUGUGCCCUGAUGGGGAAUCAAACCAGGACCUGGUUCACAGGCUGACACUUAAUCAGUGAGCAACAAUCCCUGGACAGAUUUCAUUCUUCUUUUUGGCUGAGUAAUAUGGCAUUGUGUAUAUGUGCCACAUCUUCUUUAUCCAAUCUUCUAUUGAUGGACACUUAUGUUGCUUCCAUAUCUUGGCUAUUGUUGAAAUGCUGCAAUGAACACAGGGGUGCAUAUUAUCUUUUUGAAUUACUGUUUUGGAUUUUUUUGGAUAUAUAUUCAGAAGUGGGAUUGCUGGGUGAUAUGGCAGUUCUAGUUUUAAUUUUUUGAGGAACCUCCAUACCGUUUUCCAUAGUGGCUGCACCAAUUCAAAAUGGUAUACAUGGAGUUACCAUAUAAUCCAACAAUUCCAGUCCUAGGUAUAUACCCAAGAGAAGGAAAAAGAUGAUUCCACACAAAAAUGUGUUCACAGCUGUUCAUAGCAACAUUAUUCACAGUAGCCAAAAAGUAUAAAUAACCCAAUGCCCAUCAACUGAAGAGUGGAUAAGCAAAUUGUGGUAUAUCCAUAAGGUGAAAGAUUAUUUGGCAAUAAAAAGGAAAGAAUUACUAAUACUAGUACAUGCUACAACACUGAUGAAUCUUCAAAAUGUUAGGUUAAAAAAAAAAAGCCAGCCACAAAAGACCACAUAUUGUACAACUCUAUUCAGGAAUUUGCAUGUCAUCCUUGUGUGGGGGUCAUGUUAAUCUUCUUGGUACAAAUCUAUUUAUAUAAAAUGUCUAGAACAGGUAAACCAUAGAAUAGGUAAACUUAUAGAGACAGAAAGUAGAUUACUGACUUCCUAGGGCCUGGAGCAGGUGGAGAGAGGUAAGUGGGAGGGAAAUGAUAAGGAGUAUUGUGUUUCUUUUUGGGGUGAUGUAAUACUCUAAAAUUGAUUGUGGUGAUGGUUGCACAACUCUGUAUCCCAGAUAAUGUAAAUACUAAAAAUUAUAUAUUUAAGAGGGU